rnacentral:tRNA from 1 species
GAGGCUGUGCCUCAGCGGUAGAGUGCUCACCUGGUGUGUGUGAGGCACUAGGUUCAAUUCUCAGCACCACA